GCCCUUGUAGCUCAGCAGGAUAGAGCGUCCGCCUCCUAAGCGGAAGGCCAGCAGUUCGAAUCUGCUCAAGGGUG
rnacentral:tRNA from 1 species